UGGUCAUGGAGGAGGUGGAGGCAGCGGUCAUGGAGGUGGUGGAGGUGGAGGUGCUCAUGGUGGUGGUGGAGGCGGUCAUGGAGGUGGUGGAGGUGGAGGUGCUCAUGGUGGUGGUGGAGGCGGUCAUGGAGGUGGUGGAGGUGGAGGAGGUCAUGGAGGCGGUGGGGGAGGAGGUGGUCAUGGAGGAGGUGGAGGUGGUGGUCAUGGAGGAGGACAUGGAGGAGGUGGCGGAGGAGGAGGCUACGGAGGAGGAAGUGAUGGCCAAGGAAGCAACUACAGUGUAAAUGGAAGGAAGAUGCUGCAUUAAUGCAGACACAUCUCAACCACUUCGACCCUACGUGUUUAAGUGCAGCCAUGCACUCUACUCCCUCUAUAUGUAAUGUACUAGGAUGUAACGUAAUAAAAAUAUGAAUAAUAUGCAUGUGGGUUCUCUCUUUUCUUUCCAUCCGAUCGUGCCCCAAUUUCCUACUUUUAUCUCUCCUCAAUUAACUACUAC
rnacentral:lncRNA from 1 species